rfam:Aspergillus zonatus CBS 506.65 unplaced genomic scaffold ASPZOscaffold_17, whole genome shotgun sequence.
GUCUCCGUGGUGUAGUGGUUAUCACGUAGGUCUCAUAUCCAGUAUGACAGUGGGGGCAAACCCCACCGAUAUCCUAAGGUCGGGAGUUCGAUACUCUCCGGGGACA